GCCUGGGUGACUCAGUUGGUUGAGCAUUUGACUUUGGCUCAAAUCGUGAUCUCACAGUUUGUGAGUUGGAGCCCCACAUCAGGCU
rnacentral:tRNA from 1 species